rnacentral:tRNA from 1 species
GGGGAUGCAGCUCAAUGGCAGAGCACAUGCUUAGUAUGCAUGAAGCCCUGGGUUCAAUUCUCAUAUACCUC